CUUCAUGGAAGACCAGACAGUUAGUUUUUUGUAUCUUUUUCGUCUUUUGUUAUCGAGCCGCGACUUAACUAGGUUUGAGCUUUUAGGCCGCUAGAACUAGGUAACUCGCUGACAGCCUUUGCGGCCAAAGCUUUUAUGAUCUCUUGUAAUGAUCGCAACGCUCGUACGCAGAUUCGAAAUAAGAUCUACUGUUUUCUCUAAACUCGUUUGUUAUCUUUUUCAGGAUUUCCACAUAUAUUUGGUCUCUUGUCGAUGGCUCUCGCAGAGAUCCGGGACCUCUGGGAAAUUAGGGUUUUCUUAGUUUCCUAAUUUAAACAUAAAUCGACAGUGCAAAUUUCGGUUCCCACAUGGAUCUAGGCUAUUAAUGACUAGGUAAGUCUUUAGCUAAGGUCUAAGUUAGCCCUCGCCUUUAGGCGAUAUUAUAAAUAAAGGG